rnacentral:misc_RNA from 1 species
AAUAUUCUCAUAGGGGAGUAACUGGCAGCAGAUUGCUGUGGCAACGUCACCAACAAGUAGUUUUUAAAUCCAUUCUACUGGUGUUGUCUUAAAUAGUGAGACUUAUGCAUGCCGU